AACUGUUCACUCGUCGCUCCGAUGAAUAGCACCAUGUUUUCCUUAUGGCCAGAGAACAACAAAGUGGCAGAGAAAGACGGGACAUACAUUUCUGAGCAGCACAUUUAAAGUUCAGGUAGCUCCAUUGAUUUCUUAUUGGGUAAGGUGAUGCGUGCACAUUUAAAGUUCAGGUAGCUCCAUUGAUUUCUUAUUGGGUAAGGUGAUGCGUGCACAUUUAAAGUUCAGGUAGCUCCAUUGAUUUCUUAUUGGGUAAGGUGAUGCGUGCACAUUUAAAGUUCAGGUAGCUCCAUUGAUUUCUUAUUGGGUAAGGUGAUGCGUGCACAUUUAAAGUUCAGGUAGCUCCAUUGAUUUCUUAUUGGGUAAGGAGAUGCAUGCACAUUUAAAGUUCAGGUAGCUCCAUUGAUUUCUUAUUGGGUAAGGUGAUGCGUGCACAUUUAAAGUUCAGGUAGCUCCAUUGAUUUCUUAUUGGGUAAGGUGAUGCGUGCACAUUUAAAGUUCAGGUAGCUCCAUUGAUUUCUUAUUGGGUAAGGUGAUGCGUGCACAUUUAAAGUUCAGGUAGCUCCAUUGAUUUCUUAUUGGGUAAGGUGAUGCAUGUACAUUUAAAGUUCAGGUAGCUCCAUUGAUUUCUUAUUGGGUAAGGAGAUGCAUGUACAUUUAUGUGGAUUUUAAAAUGGAAUGGUAUUAACAUUCUCCCAUCCUAUUCCUAGAAUAUACCUAUAUAUCAAAUGGCAAGUGCACUGCCUUCCUAGUACAACAGGUCCAGG